rfam:Asian citrus Psyllid, Diaphorina citri - Florida Strain, whole genome shotgun sequence.
GCCAGUGGCGAUAGCCCGUAGAUUGCACCAGUUCAUAAUGGAUCACUGAAGUUAAACAAGGUUUCGUUUGGUUGGUAUUCGGACGGGUGACCAUCUGGGUAAUCGCGUAUUGCUGGGU